rnacentral:rRNA from 1 species
AACGAACGCUGGCGGCAUGCCUAACACAUGCAAGUCGAACGAGACCUUCGGGUCUAGUGGCGCACGGGUGCGUAACGCGUGGGAACUUGCCCUUAGGUUCGGAAUAACUCCCCGAAAGGGGUGCUAAUACCGGAUAAUGUCUUCGGACCAAAGAUUUAUCGCCUUUGGAUGGGCCCGCGUUGGAUUAGCUAGUUGGUAGGGUAAAAGCCUACCAAGGCGACGAUCCAUAGCUGGUCUGAGAGGAUGAUCAGCCACACUGGGACUGAGACACGGCCCAGACUCCUACGGGAGGCAGCAGUGGGGAAUAUUGGACAAUGGGCGAAAGCCUGAUCCAGCAAUGCCGCGUGAGUGAUGAAGGCCUUAGGGUUGUAAAGCUCUUUUACCCGGGAUGAUAAUGACAGGACCGGGAGAAUAAGCUCCGGCGAACUCCGU